rnacentral:rRNA from 1 species
GACGAAGGAUGCAAGCGUUAUCCGGAUUCAUUGGGUUUGAAGGGAGCGUAGGUGGACUUGUAAGUCAGUGGUGAAAUCUCUUCGCUUAACGAAGAAACUGCCAUUGAUACUGCAGGUCUUGAGUACAGAUGAUGUGGGCGGAAUAUGACAUGUAGUGGUGAAAUACUUAGAUAUGUCAUAGAACACCGAUUGCGAAGGCAGCUCACAAAACUGUAACUGACACUGAGGCUCGAAAGUGCGGGGAUCAAACAGG